rnacentral:lncRNA from 1 species
GAGGUGGGGGUUUUGUGCCGUAAAAGCCAGAUGUUUGGAAGUUUUCCGCUUUAGUUUUUGAGUGUGAACAACUAGAAAACUCAGAACUUCUUACUUUCUCCGAAGCUGUCUGGGCUCGAAGAAGCCAGGAUACUGACUGCGGUGGGUUCAGCUUCCACCCUCCCAGCAAUUAUCACCUACUCGUACCUCCCUCUCUGACAAUUUCUCUGCUUGAGGGCAUCCCAGGGCUGUCAGUCCCAACUCGGCUGGUGAAUUCAUUUGGAAAAUCAGACCGAAUCCCCCUCUUCAAAUUCUCUUGCCUUCUUUUCACAAGAGCCCCUCAGCGCAGGGAGCCCAGACUCACCUGGCAACCUGGCAGGAGCAAAGCUCAGGGAACUCCUGUCUCUCUCCUCUGACUGGACUUCACGGUGGCACACGCCGUGGAAAUGCCGUCCUCCAAAGCACAUGGGUCAGAAGCAGGGACCUUCUGAUCAGGACGGCUUGUUGAGCUCAGAGUUGCCCAGCCUCUCUCCCCUCAUCAAACAACGGGAAGUUUUGGAGUUCCUGCAGCUCUGGCGUGCUGUCACCCCAUCAAAUGGCGCUUCUUGAAUGUCCACUUGGACUCGCAGCCCUGCCUGUUGCCCGCUGGGAUUUCCCUUUGACUCAGUUUCAGGGGCGAGUUGUUCUCCUGCUUUGUUCAUUUGGAUUAGAAACCCCAUGACGUCCAACCUGGCUUGCAUUUUUCCUUCUCUUUUUUGAAACAAUAAAAAUGUUUGGGAGGGAUUCUGGACUACAUUAGGGAUCGUUUUCAAUUUUCCUGUGAGCCAUAUGGAAAGACUCACCUCCACUUACAGCUUUUCCCUGAGACUGUCUGACCCACGGUCAACACCACAAAAUGGAAAAGACCUUUCGGGCAGGCAGCAUUUCAGCACACUUCCUGCCCUUGUCCUCCACUGACCUCAGCUCAAGUCAACUCACAGGAAGGCAGGACUUUGACGGUCGGGCCCAAGGAAACCGUCAGUCCUGGGGUGCCCCCUCCUCACUGACGCUAGGGCUCCCCAAACUCUGAAAGGUGAAAUUGGGGCUGCGUAUGGGGUGGGGAUUGGGGUGGCACAGGUGUUUCUCUUCCUUGGUUGAGGGAGAAAGAUCAGUGGCAUUUGUCCCGUUUGGUGCUGGUGCUGCCUCAAGGCCUCCUUGAGUUAAUGGAGAAAAGUCAUAAAAUGCAGUCUAGUGGCCUAGCUAUGUUUUCCUUGCAAAUACAGAUGUAAAUUACUCCGGCACAGAGAGUUUGAAUGGCUGAGUAAAUGUUUGACCUUCAGUAAGAUUUCAGAAUUGAGGUGUUUGGGUCUUUUUGCAUCAUUAGAAAACAUGUACCUGCACGUGACAAGUUAAGGGGGUGACAGAAGUAAAGACAAACAAGAUCAUUCACAGACGAUGGGAGUCGGGCUGGGGAGCUGGAAAACUCAGCGCCUGCCUUCAAGGCUCGUGAGACUUUUUGAUAUGGGGAUUAGAAUUAGCUGCAGAAGGAGCCCGCGGUAGGGAGAUUUUACAGGAAAGGUUCUUCGGGUGGAGGGAGAGACGGAAUCUGUGGAAGCAGAUCCCGCUCUGGCCAAGCGGGGCGAGAGGUCUUGAGGCUAUAGAGAAAGGAGAAAGAAGAGACUUAAGGCUGUUUGGUGCAUGGGGACUGGGGGAGAAAGGAGGGGGAAAGAGAGAGAGACGGAGGAAUGACUAGUGAGAAGUUUUGCUGUGAAUAAGCCUGGAAUCUCUUUGGGCGUUUUUCCAGAAACUCCGAUAAAGAUUUUGCUUUCUUCUCAAUUACUCUCAGUUGUUGCACGUGACACUGACUGGCUGUGAUCCUGAUGGAAGCCUGGGGCCCAACGUGGUCCAGAUGUACUUGGGUCACGGAGGAUGUGAUGGUGCAUCCUUCAGGGAGAAGAGGAAGAAGAACAAAGUGCGUCCCUGGAGACGUGGGAGCGCAGUUUCACCAAGAAACGAACUGCGGCCUU